rnacentral:rRNA from 1 species
UGGUGGAGUGAUUUGUCUGGUUAAUUCCGUUAACGAACGAGACCUCGACCUGCUAAAUAGUUUGGCGAACUCUCCUGGGUUCGUACAACACUUCUUAGAGGGACUAUCGUGCGUGUAGCCAAUGGAAGUUCGAGGCAAUAACA